rnacentral:rRNA from 1 species
CGCCUUGGAGAGGGGAAUAACACAGAGAAAUUUAGUGCUAAUACCGCAUGAUGCAGUUGGGUCGGCAUGGCUCUGACUGCCAAAGAUUUUAUCGCUCUGAGAUGGCCUCGCGUCUGAUUAGGUAGUUGGUGGGGCAACGGCUCACCAAGCCGACGAUCAGUAGCCGGACUGAGAGGUUGACCGGCCACAUUGGGACUGAGACACGGCCCAG